rnacentral:snRNA from 1 species
UCACCUGCCGAAUCAACUAGC